ACAUUAGCGUCUCUUACAUCAAACACGCAUAUCACGAUCUCUCCAGUCCCUUCUGUGACAAAUCCCUUCCUUUCCGUUUCCUUCCACAAAUCUCCGAAAUACAAAAUUUCUCAUCAAACCCCAAUUUUCACUUUUAUCUCUCUACAACCUUCUCUCUCUCUAUCGAAUGAUUCUAGAACCUUCAUGAAUCCCUCCUCCACCACCACCAGCUUCAUGGACCACUGCCUUCACUGCCGUCCUACAUUCGAUGCCUGAACGGCGUAGCCGAACACGCAGAAUUCUGAACUGCGUAACCAUCAGAAUCCGAACCCGGUUAAGUUCACUGUACAGACUCGUAAAAGAAGAACCGCGGAGGUUAACAACAAUAUAAAAAAGAACGCGAUCGUUGAUGAUAAGGAGAAAAUUGUGAGAUUACCUGAUACGAAGCCGUAUAGAAAGGAAAAGCAAGACGAGGAAGCCUGGGUUUUGAGAAAAGACGAAGGGAUUGCUAAUAAGAAGAUGGACGAGUAUGAUAGCGGCGGCGGACGGAGCGCCGACAAGGGAACGGGAGCGGAAGAUGAAGGAAGCACUGCUCCUCUUCCCGAGAAGGUCCAAGUUGGUGGUUCUCCAACGUACAAAAUAGAUAGAAAACUGGGUAAAGGAGGUUUUGGACAGGUUUAUGUUGGUCGAAGAAUUGGUCCCACUAAUUUUUCAAAUGAAAGAACUGGUCCUGGAGCUUUAGAGGUAGCAUUAAAAUUUGAGCAUAGAAGCAGCAAAGGAUGUAAUUAUGGACCACCUUAUGAGUGGCAAGUUUACAAUGCACUUGGGGGCAGUCAUGGUGUGCCACGAGCUCAUUACAAAGGAAGGCAGGGUGACUACUAUGUUAUGGUUAUGGAUAUGCUUGGACCUAGUCUAUGGGAUGUUUGGAAUAACAACUCACACACGAUGUCCAUUGAUAUGGUUGCUUGCAUUGCCAUUGAAGCCAUCUCUAUACUUGAAAAGAUGCAUUCUAGAGGAUAUGUCCAUGGGGAUGUGAAACCUGAAAACUUUUUACUUGGUCCACGAGGAACUCCUGAAGAAAAAAAGCUGUUUCUUGUUGACCUUGGAUUAGCAACCCGGUGGAGAGAUAGUUCAACUGGUCUUCAUGUUGAAUAUGAUCAACGCCCAGAUGUUUUUAGGGGAACUGUGCGAUAUGCCAGUGUUCAUGCUCAUCUUGGUAGAACUGGUAGCAGGAGAGAUGAUUUAGAAUCUCUUGCCUACACUCUCAUCUUUCUUCUCCGCGGUCGACUGCCUUGGCAAGGAUACCAGGGGGACAAUAAAGGGUUCCUUGUUUGCAAGAAGAAGAUGGCGACUUCUCCAGAAGCUUUGUGUUCCUUCUGCCCUCAGCCUUUUAGACAGUUUGUUGAGCAUGUUGUAAAUCUGAAGUUUGAUGAAGAGCCAAAUUAUGCAAAAUAUAUCUCCCUUUUUGAUGGAAUUGUUGGUCCAAAUCCAGACAUAAGACCUAUUAACACUGACGGUGCUCAGAAGCUUAUAUAUCAGGUUGGGAAUAAGAGAGGGCGGCUGACAAUGGAGGAAGAAGAAGAUGAACAACCAAAGAAAAAGCUCAGGAUGGGGAUGCCUGCAACACAGUGGAUUAGUGUUUAUAAUGCUCGUCGGCCUAUGAAACAAAGAUAUCACUAUAACGUGGCUGAUGUGAGGCUCUCCCAACACAUAGAGAAGGGUAAUGAAGAUGGAUUAUUUAUCAGCAGCGUGGCUUCUUGCUCAAACCUAUGGGCCUUAAUUAUGGACGCUGGCACUAAUUUCAGUGCUCAAGUUUAUGAGCUCUCUCCUUAUUUUCUCCACAAGGAAUGGAUAAUGGAACAGUGGGAGAAGAAUUAUUACAUUAGUGCAAUUGCAGGAGCUAAUAAUGGGAGUUCAUUAGUUGUGAUGUCUAAGGGUACUCAGUAUUUACAGCAGUCUUAUAAAGUAAGCGAUUCUUUUCCCUUCAAGUGGAUAAAUAAGAAAUGGAGAGAGGGUUUUUAUGUCACAGCUAUGGCCACUGCUGGAAGUAGAUGGGCGAUAGUUAUGUCUCGCGGCACAGGAUUUUCAGACCAGGUUGUGGAGCUGGAUUUUCUAUAUCCCAGUGAAGGCAUUCAUCGUAGGUGGGAUGGUGGUUACCGCAUCACUUCAACUGCAGCAACGUGUGACCAAGCUGCUUUUGUUCUCAGUGUGCCAAGAAGAAAACCAGUAGAUGAAACUCAAGAAACACUUCGUACUUCUGCUUUUCCCAGUACACACGUCAAGGAGAAAUGGGCAACAAAUCUUUAUAUUGCAUCUGUUUGUUAUGGUCGAACUGUCUCAUGAAUGACUGAAGUUUUGCUGGGGAUGCUGUUGCUGUUAUCAUGAAAAUUUAGAAGACAGUUCUCACCAUUUAUGAUCCUCCUUUGAGAAGCAAAGAUCUGCUUAAGCCAAAUUGACUCGUCAUGGCAUUUGGGAGUCAAUGUAUGCAAAACUCUACCUUAAUGUAGCCAUCACAUAGCAUCCAUUAAUACCUGUGCACUAACUUUCAAUUGGGUUGAAAUGCUUUUAGGGUGGCAUCGAUUUACCCAUUGCUAAGAAGUUUGUAUAGUUAUGAACAGUAGUUGAAGGGGCGUGCACUGGCCGUGUCUUCAUUAUUGAUGGCAUCACAGGCUAAAUUGUGAAUACUUAUGGUCAAGUUCUUCAAGGCAGGAACCAAGCAAGACUACUACUGUAAGAAUUUGUGUUACUGAAAGAUCAACUUAUCUUUUUGCUUGCGGCUUCCUGGGAUCAACAAAUAGAUGAGAAGUUCUUCAGACUUGGAACUACUUUUGAGCAUUCUUGACCAGGAAUUCUAUGGACUUUGAACCUUGUGUACAAACUGAAUGGAUAGAUGUUCCAUGUCUGAUAUGAUUAUUGAAUGCUAGGGAGAAACAAUGCCUCUUCCUCGUGUCAAUGUUAAGCAGCCCCUUUUGAUUUUCCAGAAGAACAAACAUCCAUUAUUUUUGUGAUGACUUUCAUCUCUGGUGGCACUUCUCUGGACACAUUUGUGAUCAUACUUCUCUAACCCGGACUGUCAAGGUUUUAAUUUCAACACUGACCUUAUAUGGCUCUAAAGAAUCUCCAGAAAAACAUUCAUGAUAAAAGAAUGGAUGGGUUUUACUGUGAAGUCAACCUGUUGGGAAACGAGUAGUGUUCUAAUUAAAGAGCUUGAUCACUACAUAGACCAGGGUUCUUCUGAUGUGUGGUAAACGAUUGAAAUUAGCAAGUUUGCUUCUUCCUUGAACAUUUUGCACUAUCAGUUGCAUGUGGCUAACAUAAAGCUGACAUGGGUGAUGUUUGAUGAGAUAUUACUAUCGACCCCUUUGAUGGCUGCAAAAUAUGAUGACAAAAAUAAGCUAAUAAUUAAAACCUUCAAUUUCUUGCUUGCAUUCAAGAAAUGGAAGGAAGGAAAGAUCUCCAAUAAACUGGCUCAGGCAUGUUGGAAUUGGAUGGGGUAGAGUUGGAAGUUCUUUCUAGAAACUCUUCCUGGGACCGUUCUCCAUGUAGAGUGAUUGCUGGGCUCUUAGUAUAAUGAAGAAGGAAAUUUGAUUUUAUUGUUCCCAUGGUUAUCUUCGUCUCUUCUUACCUAUUAAGUGGUUUGUGUUUAAUAGCAACUGUAAACAGAAUGCAUGAAAAUCCAUCUGUUCACGAAGGCUCAUACAGAAUGCAGUUGCUAGCGUGUUAAGUAUGAUGGAGCAUUCAGUUUCUGGACAGAGUGCACUCUGGAUGCCGGUGGGAAUUUCCAAGGCACUGAACUGGAUGCAAUGUUUGGCAAUCUUCCAUUUUACAUCAUUUAUUUAUAUGACCUGUGCAUGUUUUAUACUCGGUUCGAGCAAUGCGCUGCCAUGCACAAAUUCAGAUUUGUUUUUGGAAUAGACGUGAUAUUAAAUGUUGUUCUUCGUUUGCAUAAAA